rnacentral:rRNA from 1 species
AAUAGAUACCCGGGUAGUCCAUGCCGUAAACGUUGGGCACUAGGUGUGGGGCUCAUUCCACGAGUUCCGUGCCGCAGCUAACGCAUUAAGUGCCCCGCCUGGGGAGUACGGCCGCAAGGCUAAAACUCAAAGGAAUUGACGGGGGCCCGCACAAGCGGCGGAGCAUGCGGAUUAAUUCGAUGCAACGCGAAGAACCUUACCAAGGCUUGACAUAUACCGAAAACUCGUGGAGACACGGGGUCCGCAAGGGCGGUAUACAGGUGGUGCAUGGUUGUCGUCAGCUCGUGUCGUGAGAUGUUGGGUUAAGUCCCGCAACGAGCGCAACCCUCGUCCUAUGUUGCCAGCGGGUUAAUGCCGGGGACUCAUAGGAGACUGCCGGGGUCAACUCGGAGGAAGGUGGGGAUGAGGUCAAAUCAUCAUGCCCCUUAUGUCUUGGGCUUCACGCAUGCUACAAUGGCCGGUACAAAGGGCUGCGAUACCGCAAGGUGGAGCGAAUCUCAAAACGCCGGUCUCAGUUCGGAUUGGGGUCUGCAACUCGACCCC